UUGGAGCUAGGGUUAGGGUUGGGCUUGGAGCUAGGAUUUUUCUGAGUGCACUGAACCAACUCCCGAGUCUCUAGGACAUUCCUAAAAAAAAUUGAUUUUUUCCCAUAGGAAUGCAUGGGUUAGGGUUAGGGUUAGGGUUGGAGCUAGGGUUAGGGUUAGGGUUAGGGUUGGAGUUAGGGUUAGUGUUGGAGCUAGGGUUAGGGUUGGGCUUGGAGCUAGGAUUUUUCUGAGUGCACUGAACCAACUCCCGAGUCUCUAGGACAUUCCUAAAAAAUUGAUUUUUUCCCAUAGGAAUGCAUGGGUUAGGGUUAGGGUUAGGGUUGGAGCUAGGGUUAGGGUUAGGGUUAGGGUUGGAGUUAGGGUUAGUGUUGGAGCUAGGGUUAGGGUUGGGCUUGGAGCUAGGAUUUUUCUGAGUGCACUGAACCAACUCCCGAGUCUCUAGGACGUUCCUAAAAAAAAUUGAUUUUUUUCCCAUAGGAAUGCAUGGGUUCGGGUUAUGGUUAGGGUUAGGGUUGGAGCUAGGGUUAGGGUUAGGGUUAGGGUUGGAGUUAGGGUUAGUGUUGGAGCUAGGGUUAGGGUUGGGCUUGGAGCUAGGAUUUUUCUGAGUGCAAUGAACCAACUCCCGAGUCUCUUGGACGUUCCUAAAAAAAAUUGAUUUUUUCCCAUAGGAAUGCAUGGGUUAGGGUUAGGGUUAGGGUUGGAGCUAGGGUUAGGGUUAGGGUUAGGGUUGGAGUUAGGGUUAGUGUUGGAGCUAGGGUUAGGGUUGGGCUUGGAGCUAGGAUUUUUCUGAGUGCAAUGAACCAACUCCCGAGUCUCUAGGAUGUUCCUAAAAAAAUGUGAUUUUUUCCCAUAGGAAUGCAUGGGUUAGGGUUAGGGUUAGGGUUGGAGCUAGGGUUAGGGUUAGGGUUAGGGUUGGAGUUAGGGUUAGUGUUGGAGCUAGGGUUAGGGUUGGGCUUGGAGCUAGGAUUUUUCUGAGUGCACUGAACCAACUCCCGAGUCUCUAG